GGGAGGCUCAGGCGCCUCUUUCUCUUCGCACCUGGAGGAGGCGGACCGCCCGGGUCGCCUCAACACGUGCACUCAGAGGGAACCUCGUUCCCCAGGCGGUGGGAAAGUUGCUUGCUGGAGGAGCAUUAGCAUUGAGUGUCAUAGGGAAGCGGCCUCGUGGGAGAAGAUGCAGGCAUGGAUGCUACUUAACCAGCGCCUGCGAGUCAGCGAGGAGCACGGCUCCUUGAUACCAUAGAUGUGCAAAACCUCAAGAGCAAAGGAGUAAUAAAAUAUAGUCAGGCUUGAGCAAAUGAAUAAAUAUAUGGAAGAUAACGGGAGCAAGAUUUCUCACUGUUGGAAAAGGCGUUACAAAUCUGGAAAGAGUGAAAUCUAGAAUAAAAUCUGCAGUAGUAUUGGAUUCAAAUUGAAGCUUGGUGGACACAAACUGCUAUCUUGAACCUCUGUAUAUGCGGUACUGAAGACACACCAGUGUUAUGGUUUUCAUGCCAAAGAUGUAUAACCUGAAUCUAAUCUUGAGAAAACAGACAAAUCCAAUUUUUAGGAACAUUCUAUAAAAUAACUGGCCUGUAUACUUCAAAAAUGUUAGAGUCAAGAAAGACAAAGGCAGGCUCAGGAACUGUUCCAGAUUACUGGAAGCUACAGACAUGACAACCAAAUACAAUGAGUGAUCUUGGAAUGAUCCUGGACAAGGCAAAAAGAGCUAUAAAGGAUAUUAUUGGGACAACUGACAAAUUUGAAUACGGACUGUGGAUUAAUAGCAUUGUAUCAAUGUUAAAUUUCCUGAUUUUGGUAA